CUACGGGGCGCACCAGUGGGGAAUAUUGGACAAUGGGGGAAACCCUGAUCCAGCAAUGCCGCGUGUGUGAAGAAGGCCUGCGGGUUGUAAAGCACUUUCGGUUGGGAGGACUGCUUCUAGCACUAAUAUUGUUGGAAGUUGACGUUACCUUCAGAAGAAGCACCGGCUAACUCCGUGCCAGCAGCUGCGGUCAUACGGAGGGUGCAAGCGUUAAUCGGAAUUACUGGGUGUAAAGCGCGCGUAGGCGGCUAGAUCAGUCGGGUGUGAAAGCCCCGGGCUUAACCUGGGAACUGCAUCCGAUACUGUCUAGCUUGAGUACAGGAGAGGAGAGUGGAAUUCCACAUGUAGCGGUGAAAUGCGUAGAUAUGUGGAGGAACACCAAUGGCGAAGGCAGCUCUCUGGCCUGAUACUGACGCUGAGGUGCGAAAGCGUGGGGAGCAAACAGGAUUAGAUACCCCUGUAGUC
rnacentral:rRNA from 1 species